rnacentral:rRNA from 1 species
GUGGGGAAUAUUGGACAAUGGGCGAAAGCCUGAUCCAGCCAUGCCGCGUGUGUGAAGAAGGUCUUCGGAUUGUAAAGCACUUUAAGUUGGGAGGAAGGGCAGUAAGUUAAUACCAUGCUGUUUUGACGUUACCGACAGAAUAAGCACCGGCUAACUUCGUGCCAGCAGCCGCGGUAAUACGAAGGGUGCAAGCGUUAAUCGGAAUUACUGGGCGUAAAGCGCGCGUAGGUGGUUUUGUAAGUUGGAGGUGAAAUCCCCGGGCUCAACCCUGGAAUUGCUCUCAAAACUACAAGACUUGAAUUCGGGAGAGGAUAGCGGAAUUGUCAGUGUAGCAGUGAAAUGCGUAGAUAUUGACAGGAACACCAGUGGCGUAAGCGGCUAUCUGGACCGACAUUGACGCUGAGGCACGAAAGCGUGGGGAUCAAACAGGAUUAGAAACCCCAGUAGUCC